AUGCUUAUGAUCCAGUGGUAGGAUUUCAGCCUUCCAAGCUGACAGCCCGGGUUCGACUCCCGGUGAGCAUA
rnacentral:tRNA from 1 species